rnacentral:lncRNA from 1 species
AGCAAGAGGGGCGGCGAACAGGGCGCCAAUCGGGCACAGCGGCGGCCAAGACUACCACAAUGGGAUGACCAGGGCCGCCCGAUCUGCCUACGUUGUGGGCAGGCAGGCCACAUGCUACGGGAGUGCCAGAACCGAGAGUCCACUAACCAUUUUAGAGUGACAGAUGAGGGGAGGCCAGUGGAGGUUCCAAUGCGAUCUGCCCUUGUCGGAGAGAGCCCUGAGGUCGAGGUCCUUGUCCAAGGUAAACGCAUCCCCUGCAUCCUCGACACUGGGUCCCAGGUGACCCUAUUUAGCCAGGGCCUGUUCCAAAAGCACCUACAGGGCACCGAGAUGAAAGAGGUGGGUGAUAUCCCUUGGCUGACAUUGAAAGCGGCUAACGGGUUAGCCCUGCCUUAUGUUGGGUAUACUGUAUUGGACUUUGAGGUGGGGGGUGUGUUGGUACUAGGAAGGGGGGUGGUUAUAGUUGAAGACAAGUACUUGCCUCCGGCCUAUGGGGUUUUAGGCAUGAAUGUGAUUCAACAUUGUUGGGAUGGCCUCCGUCAACAGGGGGGGCGCACAUUCACUAUGUUCAAGUCUACUCUCCCCAGGUCAGCAGGGGUGGCCUGGGAUCGGGCCUUUGCCGCCUGCAGGAGGCUUGAAGCAGAGGAGCACCGGGGACCAAGCCUUGGAGUGGCCCGGCUGCGUACAAGCGACCCUGUCUGGCUGGCCCCACAAACGGAGACUGCGGUGUGGGCCCACGUCCCUGAGGCGCCCAAAGCCAGUCAAGAAGAUGUCCUACUCGAAGACUGCUACCAUGGGGGGCAAGAGUGGUGCGUGGGGCGUGCAGUUGCGAGGCUACAGGACGGCAGGGUCCUCCUCCGCAUAUGUAACCCUCACCCCUACCCUGUGGCGCUACCUCCCAGACGGCCCCUUGCCCGUGUCCUUCGUCUGGGACAGGAUGAUGUCCAAACGCCAAACCAGCUGGUCCUCAGGCAGGAGGAUGAUGCAGUGGUGGAGGUGGACGUGAGGCCAGUGAGUAGUCCCCUUUCCCCCUGUAUGACUUCUCUGCUCCAACAGACGGAUGGACUGACACCGCCCCAGUCUCAACAGCUUCAAGGGCUGCUUGAGCGUUGGCAGGGGGUGUUUGCCCAGAGUGAAGACGACUACGGGUGCACAAAUGCCGUGUACCACACCAUUCCCACAGGGGGUGCUGCACCAAUUCGCCAACGAUAUCGACCCGUGCCGCCUAACCUCUACGCGGAAUUGAGGACGUUGCUGCGUGACAUGCUGGAUGGAGGAGUUGUCCGAGAGAGCUCCAGUCCGUGGGCGGCCCCGGUGGUCUUAGUAAAGAAGAAGGACGGCUCCUGGAGGUUUUGUGUUGACUACAGGAAGUUGAAUGCAGUCACG